rnacentral:lncRNA from 1 species
UACUGUCUUUUCGAGGUAGGAGUCGACUCCUGUGAGGUAUGGUGCUGGGUGCAGAUGCAGUGUGGCUCUGGAUAGCACCUUAUGGACAGUUGUGUCCCCAAGGAAGGAUGAGAAUAGCUACUGAAGUCCUAAAGAGCAAGCCUAACUCAAGCCAUUGGCACACAGGCAUUAGACAGAAAGCUGGAAGUUGAAAUGGUGGAGUCCAACUUGCCUGGACCAGCUUAAUGGUUCUGCUCCUGGUAACGUUUUUAUCCAUGGAUGACUUGCUUGGGUAAGGACAUGAAGACAGUUCCUGUCAUACCUUUUAAAGGUAUGGAGAGUCGGCUUGACUACACUGUGUGGAGCAAGUUUUAAAGAAGCAAAGGACUCAGAAUUCAUGAUUGAAGAAAUGCAGGCAGACCUGUUAUCCUAAACUAGGGUUUUUAAUGACCACAACAAGCAAGCAUGCAGCUUACUGCUUGAAAGGGUCUUGCCUCACCCAAGCUAGAGUGCAGUGGCCUUUGAAGCUUACUACAGCCUCAAACUUCUGGGCUCAAGUGAUCCUCAGCCUCCCAGUGGUCUUUGUAGACUGCCUGAUGGAGUCUCAUGGCACAAGAAGAUUAAAACAGUGUCUCCAAUUUUAAUAAAUUUUUGCAAUCCAUCUGGAGUGUGUAGUGUUUACUUAAAAAAGGACAGUGCUUUUCAUCUGUUCAUUAGCUGUAAGCAUAAAUCACAUUCAAAAGCUAUUAUAA